AGAGUUUGAUCAUGGCUCAGAUUGAACGCUGGCGGCAGGCUUUACACAUGCAAGUCGAACGGUAACAGGAAGGAAGCUUGCUUUCUUUGCUGACGAGUGGCGGACGGGUGAGUAAUGCUUGGGAAUCUGGCUUAUGGAGGGGGAUAACUACGGGAAACUGUAGCUAAUACCGCGUAAUAUCUUCGGAUUAAAGGGUGGGACCGUAAGGCCACCUGCCAUAAGAUGAGCCCAAGUGGGAUUAGGUAGUUGGUGGGGUAAAGGCCUACCAAGCCGACGAUCUCUAGCUGGUCUGAGAGGAUGACCAGCCACACUGGAACUGAGACACGGUCCAGACUCCUACGGGAGGCAGCAGUGGGGAAUAUUGCACAAUGGGGGGAACCCUGAUGCAGCCAUGCCGCGUGAAUGAAGAAGGCCUUCGGGUUGUAAAGUUCUUUCGGUGAUGAGGAAGGCGGUUGUUUUAAUAGAACAAUCGAUUGACGUUAGUCACAGAAGAAGCACCGGCUAACUCCGUGCCAGCAGCCGCGGUAAUACGGAGGGUGCGAGCGUUAAUCGGAAUGACUGGGCGUAAAGGGCACGCAGGCGGUGACUCAAGUGAGAUGUGAAAGCCCCGGGCUUAACCUGGGAAUUGCAUUUCAUACUGGGUCGCUAGAGUAUUUUAGGGAGGGGUAGAAUUCCACGUGUAGCGGUGAAAUGCGUAGAGAUGUGGAGGAAUACCGAAGGCGAAGGUAGCCCCUUGGGAAUAUACUGACGCUCAUGUGCGAAAGCGUGGGGAGCAAACAGGAUUAGAUACCCUGGUAGUCC
rnacentral:rRNA from 1 species